rnacentral:rRNA from 1 species
UAGGGAAUCUUCCGCAAUGGACGCAAGUCUGACGGAGCAACGCCGCGUGAGUGAAGAAGGAUUUCGGUUCGUAAAACUCUGUUGUUAGAGAAGAACAGCGCAUAGAGUAACUGAUAUGCGUGUGACGGUAUCUAACCAGAAAGCCACGGCUAACUACGUGCCAGCAGCCGCGGUAAUACGUAGGUGGCAAGCGUUGUCCGGAUUUAUUGGGCGUAAAGCGAGCGCAGGCGGUCAAUUAAGUCUGAUGUGAAAGCCCCCGGCUCAACCGGGGAGGGUCAUUGGAAACUGGUUGACUUGAGUGCAGAAGAGGAGAGUGGAAUUCCAUGUGUAGCGGUGAAAUGCGUAGAUAUAUGGAGGAACACCAGUGGCGAAGGCGACUCUCUGGUCUGUAACUGACGCUGAGGUUCGAAAGCGUGGGUAGCAAACAGG